GGCCCCAAAGCUGAGUGUGGGGGAGUGGGUGCUAUCAGUGAGGGCCUUUGUGGUGGAGAACUGCAGGCCUGGCCUUGAAGCCUUCUUUGGGUCAUUCUUCCAUUGACCCGUCAAAGUCACUAAGCCCUACUUAUCCCUUCUCUGCAAUGUUUCUCUGGCCACGGGAAGCUGCCUGCGUGACAUCACCUUUGCAGCACUCAUUAGCACCUGCUGCAUGCCAGCCACUUCGCAGGCCUCGCCUCAUCCAGCAAUCACAACAGCCCCAUUUAGCAGCUCAGAAGGCUGAGGUUUAGAGAGGUGAAUCAACUUGCCAAAGGUCACCCAGCACAUGCUGUUGUUCUGAGCCACUGUGCUGCUCUGCCUCACACUGCGGGAGGGUGAGGCCUCCUGCCGGCAGCUGUGCUUUUCUGUUGGUUCUAGCCAUUGGUAUCCUUGGGCCUGGCUCUCCAGGGAC
rnacentral:lncRNA from 1 species